AACGACGCUGGCGGCGUGGAUUAGGCAUGCAAGUCGAACGAUCCCGCAAGGGAUAGUGGCGAAAGGGUGCGUAACACGUGGGCAAUCUGCCCCCGAAACGGGAAUAACUUCGGGAAACCGAAGCUAAUACCUGAUGACACCGAGCUGCCGCAUGGUGGCACGGUGAAAGGCGUCCGCAAGGGUGCCGAUCGGGGAUGAGCCCGCGGCCUAUCAGCUAGUUGGUGAGGUAACGGCCCACCAAGGCGAUGACGGGUAGCCGGCCUGAGAGGGUGAACGGCCACACUGGAACUGAGACACGGUCCAGACUCCUACGGGAGGCAGCAGUGGGGAAUAUUGCACAAUGGAGGGAACUCUGAUGCAGCGACGCCGCGUGAGUGAAGAAGGUCUUCGGAUCGUAAAACUCUGUCCUUGGUGAAGAAAAGGACGGUAGCCAAGGAGGAAGCCCCGGCUAACUACGUG
rnacentral:rRNA from 1 species